rnacentral:lncRNA from 1 species
UCUACUUCACGCCACCCCUUUUCUGCAAGAUCUCUGUUACCUUUUCUUCCCUGCAAAAAUCCUCUCAAAUCAGACAAACCCCUCCCUUCUCCUGCAAAAAUCAUCUUGCCUUUUUCUUUUCCUUGCAAAAAUCUCUCAAUUUAUGCAAUUCUUUGACCAAAAAUCGACCUCCCUUUCUUUCUUUUCCAUAUUGUCUCAUCUCUCUCAGUCACUCCACCAGAUUCACAAGCAAUUUCUUCCUUUUCCAUCUUUAUCAAUGAGGAGAGAGAGGGGGACAGGUUUCCAAUGUGUCCCAGCUAUUCCUUCUCACUUAUUAAUUUCCUUCUAUAAAUUUGAUGAAUCUCACUAGUGUAAUGGUGUUCCGAUUACCAGAAGAGUUGAAAAUCUGUGAGAAAAAGCAAUAGGAAUCCGAGAGAAGAGUGAGUAUUAUUGUGAGGAUAAACUCAAAAUAAAUCCUAAAAUAAAAUUCUAGAGUUCUGAGUUAGAGGCACAGCUCAGCUAUGUACAGCAUCAGCGGGGAGGCUCUCGGUUCAGAUUGACAGUAAUUUUAAGGUCCGGUUUCCCCUUUAUUUUUCUUUUAAAAUAAAUGUGUACAUUGUUUAGUAUAAACCUUGAAAUUUCCUUAUAAUGAAAUUAUGAGUGUGUGCUUCUAGUUCCUCUAUUAUUUUCAGGUAGCUGAAUUUUUACUUCCUCGUUCACAUUUUUGCCGCUAAAAUCCAUGACUUCGAUCGAUGUUAGGAUGCAUUAUGUGUUACUCAAGAUGUCUUAUUUUGAUGUUUUUUUCUUCUGCAUUUUUAACGUAGCAUUUUGUUUCAUUGGUUUCUACAUGAUUUACGGAAUUUAUGUUUAAAACACAUUUAAAAAGGCAGAAGCAUAUGAAGCAUAUUUGACUUUUUAUUUCUUCUUUUCUGUUUUUUGGUACCUACAGUCUCUUUUAUGUCUUUUGAUUGCCACUUCUCAAGAAAUGCAGUGAUGUUGGAUUACAUUGAGUUGUGUGUUAUGAGUUUAAUUUAGAGACUAAAAUGCAAAUUGUACCUGGUCAAAAAAAUAGAGGAAAUAAUGGAAUAUAAGAUAUGCAAACUAUGAAUUUUCUUAUAAGAAUUUGGUAUUUUCAUAGCAUAUGUUAAGGUUUGAGCCAAUGGCGUCCAAGGUUUAACAACAUGGAUAGGGUGAUGAUGAUAAUCGUGGCUUUUUUUUUUUCUAACCAUGACGUCUAGCCAACUUGGGUGCAUUGUUACCUCCUACCAGCAACAAGUACUAGAUAACUCUAUCCACCAAGUCUUGAACAAAUGAGAAGAAAUCACCUAGUGUUUUUUGCCUCCAUUAGGACUUAACCUGAGACCUUAUGAUUCUCAAUUCACUUUAUUGACCACGAGGUAAUACCCUCGAGUGCAUAAUAAUGGCUUUCCUUAAGGUCUUUUAGGCUCCCAGAAACAGAUUUUCUAUGUAUCAACCUUUUCUUUUUGUCCAGGCAAUAGAAUUUUCUCUCAGACCAUGUUAGCAUUAGGGUGGAUCUUGCUAUUUUUUAGCUUUUGAUAAUGUUUGUCAUGGUGUGAAGUGGUGAUGCUCAAAUCAUGGUUUAUGUAAUAUAGUGUGUUUUGGUUCUUUUAAUGUGGUGUGUGAUGAAAUGACACAUAUUGUUUUCUUUAGGUGAUGGGAGCCUUUGAUGAACUAGGAUUCCCUUUCAAGGGUAAGCAUUUCUAAGUUGGUUAGCUUCUGUUUUUCUCAUUUUUGUAUUCUUAACUUUACACUUUUGUGCUAUUGAUAUCAGGAAAGAGGGGCAAACCCGUUAGACGUGCCUCACAGUGUUGUGAACCAAUUGUUGACAAUGAUUAGGCCAGUUUAACUAGUGUCAGUUUAAUAAUUAGGUUGAUGGUUAUAGUGGGCUAAAUGAUAUUUUGCUAAUGGGAAAAACUAAUAGGCUCGAUUUGAUUAACAAAACCUUGAAGAUGUACACAUUUCUUUCUUUAUUAUAUUCUUAAUAGUAUGAAGUGGAACAAUAGCUUGUUAAUUUACCUUAGCCUUUUCUAUCCUCUAUAUAUUUGACAUAUCUUAAUAUGAUUAUUGGCUGAGAAGAUUCAAAUUGCACUUGAAAAUAGGUUUUUCAAAUGAAGAUGGACAAUUGAGAUUCUGAAGAUCAAUAUGAAAACUGCCUCUCUAUUGCACCCUUUUCACAUUGAUCUUUAGAAUCCUAAUCGUCUUGAAAGACUUAUUUCUAAAUGCAAUUCAAUUCUUCUCGGUCUACAAUCAAAUUAGAAUAUGUCAAAAUUGAACUAAAGCAUAUUGAAUAUAGAGAGAUAAUAGAGGAUAAGUAAAUUUAGUAAGUUAUUUGGAAUAGGAUAAGGAAAGGAAAGGUUUAACUUCUAAGGCUUUGACGGCUUUGUCAAUUAACUCUAGCCUAUUUGUUGUGCGCGCUGGCAAAAUAUUGCUUAGUCUACUAUAUCCAUCAAUCUAAUAUCAUUAAAGCGCUAAUAGUUAGACAUAAUAUAGACAGCUUAAUUCAAAAGCAAAACUAAUGCAUAGAGUUGGCGGUAAGAUGACUCAAACUAGUAGAGUGUUUGAGGCCAGCCAUCGUUAACAGUUGGUUCACAGCCCUGCCACGGGCUACACAUGCACUAGUUAUACGUGAUAUAGAGGGACUAGGACGCAACCAAAUAACCUAGAAGUUGCAUGUAAUCUGGUACCCUGGAGGACCUGACUGGAAAUCUUUUGGUAGCACUCAACAAACAGGGAAACCUUGUGCUUGGUGUCCAGGUGCAUGUUUUUCCCUUUGGAUUCACGAUGGUUAUUUUUUCAAAAUAAAAAUAAAACCAAACUAACCAUUGUGAGAUGUUAAUCCUUCAUAUUAAAACUAGCAGUUUGUCCUCAUUUUAAGUAGCUAUAUUUCUAACUUAAUCCAUGUUUAAUUGUUUUUUUAAACCUGUCAGAUGAUUAUGUUCGUUUAAAUUUUCUAUAUGUUAGUUAUGUUGUGUUUACUUAUUAAAACCGAACAUUUUCAUGUUAAAUGUUUUUCUCGUCUCAAGAUGAUGCAUUCUUUUGAGAAUGAAAUUGUUGUGGUGAAUUAUCCUUUAAAAGGGGUUUCAAUGUAGAAUGUGGUGUAAAAGCCUUUUGAAUCAAUCUAGAGAUGCUUGAAAUUAUAGUAGUGUUGUCUUUUUAAAAUUUCUGUCCUCCCAAGGGAUUUUAGGAUGUUAGUGGUUAGAAAUAUGCUGUUAUUGUCUUCUGAGUUGUCUUUUAUGUAUGCUUUUUCUAUAAAAAGGAGAGCAAUUUUUGUUAUCCAUGCACCUUGAUCACGGCAUUUUAAAUUCGCAUCAUUUAUCAUCUUUGUUAUCUGUAUGGUUCAUUUACUUAUUGGAGAAGGUACUUUCAUGGUUAAACUUGGUCACAACUAUGAAUUGGAGAGUAUCUAAAUCUGGCAUAUUAAAUAAACCACAGAAUAUAUGGGCACAAAUUGUAGCUUUAACGAAUUGUUUUCCUGAUGGAAACAAAAUUCAUGCUGAAAUUCUUGGUCGUACCUGCGUCAAAUCAUUCAGUUUAAAGUGACGCUCACUGCUGCAUCCUCAACACUAGAACUAAAGAUGAUAGGUGCUUUAACGCAUUCGCUUUUUAAUCCAAUACCUUCUCUUGUAGGUUGCUUCAAUUGUAGAGGUUGAUACUUGAUACCAUUGCUUGAGAUUGAAAGGGCGCUUUCUCAUAUUCAUUGACUCUAUCUAAUUAAGCAUUUUCAGCCAUUUUCUUGGACUCGGAAAUUUUUGGGUGAUAACUUCUUUGAUAUUCACAAAUUAAAAGUCAUUUCCCUUGGAAUGUAUUCCUUUUUUUAGAAGGGUUUUCCUUAAAAUGUGUUUUUGAGUCACAAAUAUGGCAAAGUUCUUUCACUUGAAAUUUGAAUAUAUUAUAAAGUAUGUUCAAUGGAGCUUUAAUGACAAUACUCAAUAGAAUAGUUGUCUACAUUGAUCCUCUAAUACUUUCAAAUACCAACUAUAAUGAGUUUUGCCUAGUUAUUACUUGUUACCUUUUAAUUUUACAUAACUUUACUAUUUCAAACAUCAAUAUAAUGCAGCGAAGUAUCCAACUUGGAAUCAGCAAUGUUUUCUUACCCACUGGAGCCUUCUCUGCUCUUUACAGGUUUAGUUUUCGAUUUAGCUUGUUAUUUACAGUCUUUUUAGUUAAUAUAACUGUAUAUUGUAGAAAAUUUCUUAUUUUCACUGAAACUUGAUUUCUCCUUUUCCCUUGCUUUUUUCCUUUUAUAAAUCUGUAUGCUGUAUAUGCAGGAAUCAGCAAUCUGUAUGCUGUAUAUAACUGUAUAUGCAGGUGGCUGCUGAUGCCUAUCAAAGUAGGGAAGAAAGUCUUGGUUCCUAUGUUGUAAGUUCUUAAGACCGCUCCCUCCCUGCACCCGCAGGGAAGUCAAAUUAAUAUUGAUUCAAAUUUGCUCCAUAGUUUGUAUUAUUUUGUGGUUCAUACUAAUAACAAUCUAUAUUUCCCUGGUUGAAGUUGUAGGUGUGCAUUUCAAGCAUAUUGCAUAUCAGGACUUUGACCUCAACACUAUAGCCUUGAUGUUUUAUAAGCUAGUGUUACAUGACUUCCUUGGUGGUGUCAAAGUAGG